GGGUCGUUAACUCAGUUGGUAGAGUAUCUGACUUUUAAUCAGAGAGUCGCGCGUUCGAGCCGCGCACGACCCACCA
rnacentral:tRNA from 1 species